rnacentral:lncRNA from 1 species
GAAAUCUGAAUUGAUUGUCCAAAGGUUUCCAUUGGACCCUGUUGCCUCUCAUUAUUCAGAAAAUCCUCAGUUUCUUAAGUUACAAAUGCMUUUAAACAAUGACCAAGUCAUGCCGCAACAGGCACUGGGAACAAAUGAACAACUGCAGCAAGAAAUAGCUAAGCUUGGGUCUGAAAUCCCAACACUGAAAAAAGAGUGAGGCCAAUAAUGCUCAAAAGGGCCUAAACGGUCACUCACUUCCAAAAAGACUAUUAGACUGCUGGAUGACACUUUCAGUACAGGUGGAAGUAGCACCCAGUGGUGAUUGUGAUUACACAUGGAAGACGUUUUUACUGGACUUCAGUUUGUCACUUACCCUAAGCAAUCCUUACUACAACAAGAAGAAAUGCCUGGUGAUCUUCAAGGGACAUUCUUAAAGGAUGAAUUCACUGCUGAAGUUACUACUUUAUUCAUUACCUACAUGUGCCCAUCAGGCAAAUCUUCCUUUCAAAGCUCAUCAUAUAAUCUCCCUUGG